UUGAUAUCAAAUUUAUUGUCUAGUGUAUGAUGUCGGCACCACCCUCUGGGAUGGAAUUCGUAUGGUUUUGAUCGAGAAAGGCUGCCAUCCUCACCAAGUUUCGUAUCGAAGGAAAAAAUCCAAAGCACUUGAGUACAAAACCUCUGGGUUCUGCUUGCAAAGAGAGUCGACGAAACCAAACUCAAAAGCAAUGUUCUCGAAGGACUGCACUAGUCCAGGAACGUUCCUGGAUUUCUACAAACUCUAGUAAUCUAGAUAUUCAGGUUUUUUUUUUUUUGCACGAUUUUGGUAGAAGGAGAUUAUGAUAUUGUUUUUCCUUAAAAGUAAAUGAUUUUAUUAAAAAGCGAUCAAAUGCA